rnacentral:piRNA from 1 species
UAUGAUUGUCUUAAUUUAGCU